UACCUGCAUUUUGUAGCUACGUGGCUAGCUAAAACUUUCCCUCGUUUUCUCAGACUUCCUCAACAAAGACCUCUGAAGAAAGAGGAUUCGUUUCUACAGCAAUGGCUGCGUUUGUUUGCGUCAUUAGGUGAUCAUGCAAAGAGCUGGAAUAACGUGGCUGUGUUAGUUGAUGAAACUAUUAAACCACAAGCUCCGUGUAGCCCAAUCCUACAGACCCCAACACGCCAGAACAUAAAACAAAAGCCCACUCUAAUAAGGAAUAAGAAGGCUGCAAACAGACAACCCUGUUGAAAGGCCAUGUGCUUCUAUGCCCCUCUCUGUGAAAGAUGCUACGCCUAAAAACGUUCGCCAUCGUAAGCCUAAGAAGCAAUUUAUUGAGAAGACGCCCUUCCUUUGUUCCAGACUCGCCUUACCCAGACACUCUAUCUGCCGAUCCUAACACCACUGCAGAGCAACUAACGGCCAGCGAAGACUUAGAGUCCUUGCAUUGGUCGUCGUCUAAGUGUGAUUUCACACAUAGUACACCAAAGCCCUACCAGCCACCAAGUGUCUCCAUUGAGAGGGAACAAAAGGAUACCCCUUUACAAAAGAGAUCUGAUGAGAAAAUCCAUGCCAUAGAAGUAGGCGAAGUAUCUGAAGACACCAGACUAACAGUGACAGUCCCUACAUCACACCAAACAAAUC